UACGUAGGGUGCGAGCGUUAAUCGGAAUUACUGGGCGUAAAGCGUGCGUAGGCGGUUCGCUGUGUCCGAUGUGAAAGCCCCGGGCUUAACCUGGGAAUGGCAUUGGAAACUGGCGGGCUUGAGUGCGGCAGAGGGGGGUGGAAUUCCGCGUGUAGCAGUGAAAUGCGCAGAUAUCAGGAGGAACACCAAUUGCGAAGGCAGCUCGCUGGGACGUUACUGACGCUGAGACGCGAAAGCGUGGGGAGCAAACAGG
rnacentral:rRNA from 1 species